CUUUACAAUCGAUUCUCCUAUUACUACCCCAAUCUCCAGCCUUAGGCAAGAGAUCCUGCAGUUCCUUUGCCCAACUUCCUGGAGUUACCAUCUUGCAUAACCAUGUACGUUUGUCAAAACCGAGAAAUUAACAUUGCUAUAGUAUCACGAACCAAACUGUCAGCUCUAAUCAGAUUUCACUAAUUUUCUCAUUAAUGUCCUUUUUUCUGCUCCAGGAUCCAUUCCAGGAGUGCACCCAGGAUUGUAUUUAGUAAUCAUGUCUCCUUAAUCUCUUCCGAUCACUUAUUGCAGUGAACUAGCCACAUUUCAAGUUCUCAAUGGCCAUAUGACUCAGGCUACCAUAUUGGAGAGCACAGCUCUAGACCUUUUUGAAACCAGUGCAGGGCAGGCCGGGAUCUUGAUAUUUGGCUGCUUUGUGAAGGCAAAGUGGGAGCAGAGAGACUGCUGGGAGGUGACUGUGACUGGGUAGAGAUUUGGACCAGGAGAGAGCGAGAGAAGAUGCUGGACCAUGCUGCCAUUCUGGAGGAGAGGCGGAGGGAUUUUCGAGCCCAUGAAAAUGUCAGAGAAUCCACCAUAACAAGAGGCCAUUGGGAGCUUGGCCAAGGGUAUCAUGCGAUUGGAUAUCUCAAGGUUGCUUGUGACAAACAUGAAACUGGAGGUCCAAGACCCUCUGCGCCUUUUCUGGCACCACUAGUGUGAAAUGAGCUGACAGAAGAUACCAACAUGGAGAGCUUCACCCCCACGGCCCACAGCAGACACAUCACAGAGUUACCAGGAAUUCCA